rnacentral:lncRNA from 1 species
CAAAACCCAGACAGAAACGUCCAACAAACUCCCAGUCCAGGAGCGCUGCAAAACCAACGCCAGUCUAGUUUGGGGUCUCUAUAAUCCUGCUCCUUUGGCUGCCAGCCAUCUCCAUAAAAAAAGAAUUUGAAAGGCUUCCAUUCUUUCAGAGACCUGUUUCCCGGGACUGGCUGCAAGGGAGAGAUGCACUGACCUUCUGCCAGGUAUAGAACUAUUGAAUGGUACAGUUUGAGAUCUUCGAAACCAUCAGGACUGAUCAUUUUCUGGCUACUUUCUACAUAGGAAUCCUAGAGUUCCUUGGAGAGGAUAUGAAGGUUAUUCUCAGGCCAUGCAGAUGGGCAAGAAAGGAUGUGCGUCCAUGGUUCCUCUUCAAAUCCAACCAAAACAGCCUUGCUUCCGUUGGCUUUAUAUAAUACUGCAACUCUUGAUAAUCUGAUUUAACACAAAUUUCCUCAUUGAGUUUCUCCUCAUGAAGAAACGGCCUCAGUGAGGUAAAUCGGAAUGCACAGGAGCACAUAGCAGGUUAGUGCAGACCAGAAAUCAAACCCAGGCUUUCUGACUGCUCAAUAGACCACAAUCUACCAUGCUACCAUGGAAACUUUAAAACAGAUGAAAGUAAAAACAAACAAACAACAACUUAAAAAAACAAAAACAAAAACAAAAGCAAAACCCAGAGCCUCUCUAGGAAAUACCAACGUGCUUUUGCCAAGUGGGGUUUCUCUCACUUCAUAAGAGCAGUAAACACUAAACCAAGGGAAUGUGAAUUUAGAGGUUAGAAAAGAUAACCAGAGAUUUGGCCGUGCGUGGGGCUCAUGCCUGUAAUCCCAGCACUUUGGGAGGCUGAGGCUGGUGGGUUGCCUGAGGUCAGGAGUUUGAGACCAGCCUGGCCAACAUAGUGAAACCCUGUCUCUACUAAAAAUACAAAAAUUAGCUGGGUGUGGUGGCGUGCACCUGUAAUCCCAG